rnacentral:rRNA from 1 species
GACGAACGCUGGCGGCGUGCUUAACACAUGCAAGUCGAGCGGUAAGGCCCUUUCGGGGUACGACGAGCGGCGAACGGGUGAGUAACACGUGGGUGACCUGCCCUCAGCUCUGGGAGUAAGCCUGGGAAACCGGGUCUAAUACCGGAUAUGACUCCAUGACGCAUGUUGUGGGGUGGAAAGCCUUGUGCGGCUGAGGAUGGGCCCGCGGCCUAUCAGCUUGUUGGUGGGGUGAUGGCCUACCAAGGCGACGACGGGUAGCCGGCCUGAGAGGGCGACCGGCCACACUGGGACUGAGACACGGCCCAGACUCCUACGGGAGGCAGCAGUGGGGAAUCUUGCGCAAUGGGCGAAAGCCUGACGCAGCGACGCCGCGUGAGGGAUGACGGCCU